GAUGAACGCUGGCGGCGUGCCUAAUACAUGCAAGUCGAGCGAACGGACGAGAAGCGUGCUUCUCUGAUGUUAGCGGCGGACGGGUGAGUAACACGUGGAUAACCUACCUAUAAGACUGGGAUAACUUCGGGAAACCGGAGCUAAUACCGGAUAAUAUUUUGAACCGCAUGGUUCAAAAGUGAAAGACGGUCUUGCUGUCACUUAUAGAUGGAUACGCGCUGCAUUAGCUAGUUGGUAAGGUAACGGCUUACCAAGGCAACGAUGCAUAGCCGACCUGAGAGGGUGAUCGGCCACACUGGAACUGAGACACGGUCCAGACUCCUACGGGAGGCAGCAGUAGGGAAUCUUCCGCAAUGGGCGAAAGCCUGACGGAGCAACGCCGCGUGAGUGAUGAAGGUCUUCGGAUCGUAAAACUCUGUUAUUAGGGAAGAACAUAUGUGUAAGUAACUGUGCACAUCUUGACGGUACCUAAUCAGAAAGCCACGGCUAACUACGUG
rnacentral:rRNA from 1 species